GAUGAACGCUGGCGGCGUGCCUAAUACAUGCAAGUCGAGCGAACAGACGAGGAGCUUGCUCCUCUGACGUUAGCGGCGGACGGGUGAGUAACACGUGGAUAACCUACCUAUAAGACUGGGAUAACUUCGGGAAACCGGAGCUAAUACCGGAUAAUAUAUUGAACCGCAUGGUUCAAUAGUGAAAGACGGUUUUGCUGUCACUUAUAGAUGGAUCCGCGCCGCAUUAGCUAGUUGGUAAGGUAACGGCUUACCAAGGCGACGAUGCGUAGCCGACCUGAGAGGGUGAUCGGCCACACUGGAACUGAGACACGGUCCAGACUCCUACGGGAGGCAGCAGUAGGGAAUCUUCCGCAAUGGGCGAAAGCCUGACGGAGCAACGCCGCGUGAGUGAAGAAGGUCUUCGGAUCGUAAAACUCUGUUAUUAGGGAGGAACAAAUGUGUAAGUAACUAUGCACGUCUUGACGGUACCUAAUCAGAAAGCCACGGCUAACUACGUG
rnacentral:rRNA from 1 species